UUGGCGAUAAAAGAGGUAUGUCAUGAAUAGUAUGUUAUGAGAGGUAAUAAUGAUUAAAUCAAUUUUUUAUAGGUCAUAUUUAAUAGAAUAAUUUAAUAAAUAUAACAAUAAUUAAUAGAUGCUUCGAUGAACUUGUUAAGUGAUUAAUCAAUCUCAAUUGACAGAUUGAUUAAUUAGAUUAAAUGAUUAAAUGAAUUUUUGUAUAGGUUAUGUUUAAUAGAAGGUUGCGAAAUUGUUGAAGAUACUGUUAAAUUAUUUUCACGAUAUUUGGCAACGGAAGAGAUAAUAAGUAGCGCGUUAUGGGAGUCAUGACGACGAUCAGGGUGGUCCUCUCUCACGGUUCGAGAAACCGCGUUCUGGAACCGAUGUAUACACGGUGCACGCGUCGUCAACGGGGACGUCUACGUCGCGUCGUGGAUGCCGCGCUGCCAGAAAGAAAGUCGACUCGAAAAUCAAACAAACAGCCGACGACGCCGCGUUUCUGCACUUCCGUCGUCGCCGUUUGUUUAUUGUCGCUGAGGGAUCGCUGCCCUGGUGAUCCGUGUACCGUUUAAUGCCGCGUUUCACACAUUAUGUAAUUCUUUCACGUGCCAGUUAUAAGUACAAAAUCAUUUAUUCUUUGAAUAAUCACAGUUAUCUUCAAUAAUGUUAACAGUAUUGUCUUCUUUGCUUUUGUCAUCUUUUACUUAAUCCUGUUCCUCUUUAUUAUUAUUAACGAAGAAAAUUAAUAAUAGUAAUGCUCAAUGAAUGUUUGAUAAGGAUCCAACAGAUUUCAUGAGAUUUGCUUCAUAUGUUAAAUUUUGAAUCUGUUUUUAGAAAGAUAAUAUCGAUGGAAGAAUUCGAUAAGUAAGUAUUUUUAAAGAAGAUGGUAAAAAAGAGAAGAAGAGAUUAGCCUGUAAAGGGAAGAAAUUGUGAAACGUCGAUUCUUUACAGCCUUGUAAGACGGACCUAAUGAAACGUAAUUCAUUCCCAUGCACCUUGAGGAGACAUCGUCUGGCGAACACAUGUCUCCAUUGGAUUUUAUCCAUUAGGAAAAAGUGCGCCCUUCGUCGCAUGACAUUGGCCGCCGUCGAACAUUGAAACUCGAACUCGCUAAUUCUCCAGAUGCUGGCUCGACUCAAAGGGUUAUUAAACAUAUUUUUAUGUCCGCGUCGAUGGAAAUAUUUAGACCCCCAGAGCGUCAUCUCAGCUUCAAUUAUCCUCCUACUGAGAAAAUGGAUAGCCGUCGACUAGACAAAUUGAGGAAAACAGUUGUCUGAUAGUCACAUCUGUUCCCGGAUUAUGAGCACGAUAAAUUUCAGCCUGUGAAGCUAACAGCCGGAUUAGCGAGCGUUGUCGCGGUGUCAACGAGAGUUAAGUACAAGAAGUACGAUCUUUUGGGAACGUCGAUGUGGCAAGAAGACCGGAAAUGAAAGAAAACAGCGGGCACUGUUCGCAAACAGAGAAGCUCGUCAAGAGUCUCUGGACUUAUUGUCAUCGCUAUUCUGCCACGGCUACCUAACGUGCAUGUGCGGAUUCUGUACGCAUUUCAGAAAUGCCUACUUCAAACACACGUGUUCGCCAUCAGGUUGCCCAAGUGGUUGCUUGACCUUCGCAUUUUUACUUUUUGAACUCUUUCUACUAGAUCUUUCUUUUAUCUUACAAAAAUGCUUUAUCUUCACUAUUAAAGUAUCAAAAAUUCUAAGAAGGAUUCUUCUAACAGUUAAUUAAUUUCAUUUUUGACAGCUCUCUAAAUUAUACAUACAUAAAUUGUUAUUAUUGCGACUUGAAAGUUUUAGAAGAUAAUAAUAAUACAACAAUCGCAGUGAAUUUUUUGAUGCUAGAUUUCGUAGGAAAUUAUAUUUUAUUUUCCUAAAUAAUGUCUCUGGUAUUGCGCUUAUCAGUAAAAUAUUUUAUUUUCAUUAUACGUUUAUUUAAUAUUUUUAUUUAUGAAACAGUGCUGAUCUCCAUAUAAUUUCACCUAACCCCAAUCAUUUUUAUGUAGACGAUUUUUUUGGAUGGAACAAGAGGUCAGAGGUGACCACCAUGGACUCCGGAUUGAAUUUCCGAAUCAACGUCUUCGAGGAGGUAUUAGCCCCACGUGAAUACCGUGGUCCCCGAUGUCGAGGUCGUGAAUUGGUAAAAAAGGGCCUCACGGAUCGUUGUGGCCUGGUUGGGCCUCUGGAAUCCUCAGUGGGGGUCCCACGGAUGGGUUCUUUCGUUUUUCUCCUGAUCCCGGAGGAAUCAUUGUCGUUUCCUCUGCUCAACGCUUUCUUUCAACGCUUUCUCAUAUCUCCAGUCUUUUUCAUAUCGGGCAAGUAUUUCCUAACAUAAUUGAUUAACAAUUGCUACAACCUACAUAUAUCUAAUACAGGGUGAACAAUAUAUGCUGACUAAUUUCAAAGUCCCAUCCUUCUGGAACGAUGUAUCAUUUUUUGUGCCGCACUAGAAAUUAUGUUAUGGAUGCAUGGCAAAGUAAACAAGUAGCCAUCCAUCAAGGAUGUACACAGUUCUGAUGACAUCACACUUGAUAUAUUAGAAAGAAAUAUGAAGUGGCACUACAAUUUUACGAAACGAAUUUAUAUUUAAUAAAAGCAAUGAAUAAAUGUAUAUAAUAUAUAUAUAAAAUAGACUUUUAUUAUAGUGAAAAAUUUUUAAUAUAAAAGUUACUAAAAUUUAUGGUGUAUCAAUCAUAAACUUUCUUUUGUCCAUUACUAUAUCUAUUAAGUAUUUAAUAAUUGUUCUUUCCAUCCUAAUGCUUUUUAAUUAUAGCAAAAUUGAACUCCAAAGUAACGAAGAAAAGUAGGAGCAACGUGGUAAUGAAAAAAAAAGAAAAGCCAGGAAAUUUGAAACUAGUGAUCCAUUAUGCAGCAAAGAUAUGUAUGUAAUUUGAAGUAAAGUAAAUAAUAAUAGAGAGGAGGGCAAUGUUUUUUUAAACUGCAGCAGAGCUGGAAAAAGAAGAAAAGUAGAAGUAACAUGGCAGCAAAGUAAAAAAGGAGGAAAGCUGAGAAAAAAAUGUUGAAAGUUGAAACUAAUGGCGGAGUCGAGGCUACUAAUUGCCAUGGAAAUUUCGCAGGGUCUGGUGAAUUCGUUCAGGAGGUCCCGUGGCACAGUCGAGGUCGAGAGUUGAAUCUAAAUGAUCCUGAUUCUCGGAAGGAGAGGACCAUCAGGACACGCGACACUUCCCAAGUCGAAGGAAGCGUGCCCUCUCUUAUUUUUUCCUCCUGCUUGGAACCCUGUGGUUGCUACAGGCCCCUGGAAUCAUCCUGGUGAAAGAUUCAUCGUUGCUGUUUCAGCGGACUCUGUAUAUGUUACCAACUGAUGCAAUUUGUAGAACUUUGGUAAAAAAAAAAGGAGAAAACCAGUCUCCAGGGAUGAAUUUUACAAUAGAAAUGGCAUAGGAAACAAAAUCAAAAACAUAAGUAAAUUUUCAAGUCAGCUACUGAUAAUAUCAAUGUAUAUAGUCUUUAAAAAUAUUAGAUAAAACAUAAAAAAAUCUGGAUAGCCUUAAUAAAUAUUAAAUAUUAUUAAACGUUAAAUAUUAAAUGAAAUAUCAGUGUCAAUAAUAUUGAGAUAUAUUAAUAACAAUAAUUAUAUUUUUAGUUUGAUUUAUAAGAAGAUAAAAAGAAGAAAUGUGUGUUGUGUGUGGAGAAAACUACUGACGCCAUUUUCUUUAGAAUCCCCUUUAUUUGGUGCGGACCAAUUGUAAACGAGUCUCACCUGUACAUUAUCUCUCACCUGUGCUUUAGUCUCCUAUUGGAGGAUUAAGAGCAGGUAACAGGCAAGUGUCCCCACC